rnacentral:rRNA from 1 species
CCCGCUGAACUUAAGCAUAUCAAUAAGCGGAGGAAAAGAAACUAACAAGGAUUCCCCUAGUAACUGCGAGUGAAGCGGGAAGAGCUCAAAUUUAAAAUCUGGCGUGCCUCUGGUCGUCCGAGUUGUAGUCUGGAGAAGUGUUUUCCGUGUUGGACCGUGUAUAAGUCUCUUGGAACAGGGCGUCAUAGAGGGUGAGAUCCCGUCUUUGACACGGACUACCAAUGCUUUGUGAUGCGCUCUCAAAGAGUCGAGUUGUUUGGGAAUGCAGCUCAAAAUGGGUGGUAAAUUCCAUCUAAAGCUAAAUACAGGCGAGAGACCGAUAGCGAACAAGUACCGUGAGGGAAAGAUGAAAAGCACUUUGGAAAGAGAGUUAAACAGUACGUGAAAUUGCUGAAAGGGAAACGCUUGAAGUCAGUCAUGUCUGCCAGGACUCAGCCUUGCUUCUGCUUGGUGUACUUUCUGGUUGGAUGGGCCAACAUCGAUUUUGACCGUUGGAGAAAGGCUUUGGGAAUGUGGCACCUUUGGGUGUGUUAUAGCCCUUUGUUGUAUACAACGGUUGGGACCGAGGACUGCAGCACGCCUUUAUGGCCGGGGUUCGCCCACGUACGUGCUUAGGAUGUUGGCGUAAUGGCUUUAAGCGACCCGUCUUGAAACACGG